UACGGAGGGUGCAAGCGUUAUCCGGAUUCACUGGGUUUAAAGGGUGCGUAGGCGGGUAAGUAAGUCAGUGGUGAAAUCUCCGGGCUUAACUCGGAAACUGCCGUUGAUACUAUUUAUCUUGAAUAUCAUGGAGGUAAGCGGAAUAUGUCAUGUAGCGGUGAAAUGCUUAGAUAUGACAUAGAACACCGAUAGCGAAGGCAGCUUACUACAUGUUAAUUGACGCUGAGGCACGAAAGCGUGGGGAGCAAACGGG
rnacentral:rRNA from 1 species